rfam:Schistosoma mattheei strain Denwood, Zambia genome assembly, scaffold: SMTD_scaffold0000351
AUCCAGAUGACGAGUCCAGAAUAGGAGGAAACACAUGUCCUGGAU